UACGUAGGGCGCAAGCGUUGUCCGGAAUUAUUGGGCGUAAAGAGCUCGUAGGCGGCCAGUUGCGUCUGCUGUGAAAUCCCGGGGCUCAACCCCGGGCGUGCAGUGGAUACGGGCUGGCUAGAGGCAGGCAGGGGAGAUCGGAAUUCCCGGUGUAGCGGUGAAAUGCGCAGAUAUCGGGAGGAACACCGGUGGCGAAGGCGGUUCUCUGGGCCUGUACUGACGCUGAGGAGCGAAAGCGUGGGGAGCGAACAGG
rnacentral:rRNA from 1 species